rnacentral:rRNA from 1 species
UGUGCUUGCACGAUUUUAUACUUAGUGGCGGACGGGUGAGUAACAUGUGGGUAUCUACCCUUUGGCCUGGAAUAACACGAGGAAACUUGUGCUAAUACCGGAUAAGUCUUUACGGAGAAAGCUUUAUGCACCAUUGGAUGAGCCCGCACUUGAUUAGUUUGUUGGUAGGGUAAUGGCCUACCAAGACUAUGAUCAAUAGCUGAUUUGAGAGGAUGAUC